rnacentral:rRNA from 1 species
CCUACGGGUGGCUGCAGUGAGGAAUAUUGGUCAAUGGGCGCGAGCCUGAACCAGCCAAGCAGCGUGAAGGAUGACUGCCCUACGGGUUGUAAACUUCUUUUAUAAAGGAAUAAAGUGAGGCACGUGUGCCUUUUUGCAUGUACUUUAUGAAUAAGGAUCGGCUAACUCCGUGCCAGCAGCCGCGGUAAUACGGAGGAUCCGAGCGUUAUCCGGAUUUAUUGGGGUUAAAGGGUGCGUAGAUGGGUUGUUAAGUCAGUGGUGAAAGUUUGCGGCUCAACCGUAAAAUUGCAAUUGAUACUGGCAGAAUUGAGUACAGGUGAGGUAGGCGGAAUGCGUGGUGUAGCGGUGAAAUGCAUAGAUAUCACGCAGAACUCCGAUUGCGAAGGCAGCUUACUAAACUGACACUGACAUUGAUGCUCGAAAGUGUGGGGAUCGAACAGGAUUAGAUACCCGGGUAGUC